rnacentral:tRNA from 1 species
AUUUAAAUAGUGUAAUGAUAACACAUAACAUUUUCACUGUUAAGUUCCUUUUGGUUUAAAUU